rnacentral:rRNA from 1 species
AUUGAACGCUGGCGGCAUGCCUUACACAUGCAAGUCGAACGGUAACAGGUCUUCGGAUGCUGACGAGUGGCGAACGGGUGAGUAAUACAUCGGAACGUGCCCGAUCGUGGGGGAUAACGGAGCGAAAGCUUUGCUAAUACCGCAUACGAUCUACGGAUGAAAGCAGGGGACCGCAAGGCCUUGCGCGGACGGAGCGGCCGAUGGCAGAUUAGGUAGUUGGUGGGAUAAAAGCUUACCAAGCCGACGAUCUGUAGCUGGUCUGAGAGGACGACCAGCCACACUGGGACUGAGACACGGCCCAGACUCCUACGGGAGGCAGCAGUGGGGAAUUUUGGACAAUGGGCGCAAGCCUGAUCCAGCCAUGCCGCGUGCAGGAUGAAGGCCUCGGGUUGUAAACUGCUUUUUGUACGGAACGAAAAGACUCUGGUUAAUACCUGGGUCCAUGACGGUACCGUAAGAAUAAGCACCGGCUAACUACGUGCCAGCAGCCGCGGUAAUACGUAGGGUGCAAGCGUUAAUCGGAAUUACUGGCGUAAAGCGUGCGCAGGCGGUGAUGUAAGACAGAUGUGAAAUCCCCGGGCUCAACCUGGGAACUGCAUUUGUGACUGCAUCGCUGGAGUACGGCAGAGGGGGAUGGAAUUCCGCGUGUAGCAGUGAAAUGCGUAGAUAUGCGGAGGAACACCGAUGGCGAAGGCAAUCCCCU